rnacentral:lncRNA from 1 species
GCUACUCCAGCUGCGGCGGGCCCUGACAAACCCUUCCUGGCCAAGUCUGCGACUCCACGCCGGGCGCUGCGGUGGUGGUGGGGAUGCUGGGGAGGAUGCACGGCAAGCUGCACUUCGUGCGGUAGCAGCUGCGAUGGCUGUAGCAGGACCUGGACUGUCAUCACGCCCUGGUCCAAAUGGACCAAGACGGUCACUUGGGGCCGCUAAGCUGCCGUACUUUUAUCUGGCCGUAUCCAUACAAGAGUCGCGUUAUCCUACCGUAGAGGAUAGAGCUUUGGGAUUGGAUGGAAGGCAUAGUUGGUGAUGCGGUGCGGCAAUCUUUCAGGGGGGACGUAAAUAAACGCCAUCGGCUUGCUUUCAC